AAUUCGAAAAAAAAUAUCAUGAUUAGUGCUGUGUUGUAGAGAGAGCUAGCCGAUUACAAUAUGAAGGGUGAUUUUUGAGACAAAAAUUAGCUCAGUGAGGAGAGAACAGAAACCUUCAGGAAGGCAGUAAUGGAGACACAAAGCUAGAGCCAAGGCUGGGGAUCAGAAGAGAAGGACAGGUUCUGGUUUCUGACUUGGAUGAGCAAAGAGGAGAGUGAAGUCACUGGGGACAAGCACACUGGAGUAUUGUAUGGGCAGGAAGCGUCUAAAUUAGAGAGGCUGGGGCACAGGAUGGGGUGGGGGGUUAGGGUUCAUAGAUUGGAGAAUAUUAGGUAGUUCUUGCCCAUAGAAUAUUUUAUGAAAACGUUACGGAAACACGGAGCUCAAGAGUAAGCUCUGGAGACCUGUUGAGGGUGGAGGAUUCAGAGCAUAAGACAGAGCAACUGGGGAAGGAGAGUGACGGUGACCCUGUGGAUGGAGGCCAGUUCCUUUACCCACUCGGACAUCCAGUUCAAGCGUAUGUAACGAACUGGAAAGAAUGGGCAUCUGUCAUCCUCAAGAAAUGACAGACAGGCAGGCCUGCACCCAGCAGCUGAGGCACCCGGAGACCCAGGGCUCUGCACAGUUUCUAGCACUUCCUUCUCUAAGCUGCGCCAGCGCCUGCCUGAGCUGAGCCACGAGAGAGGCAUCUGUGAUACCUGAUGACAAUCAUCUCUGAUUAGAGUUCCACCACGCAGCCCAGGCGAGCUGGGCCACAGCUAAUUA
rnacentral:lncRNA from 1 species